UGACUUGACGAAAGGCCGUGCUUGAAA
rnacentral:piRNA from 1 species